GACACCGUAGCUCAGUGGUUAGAGCAUGCGAUUGCAGUUUGCAAUGCUUAAUCAUUAUCGCAGGGUCCCGUGUUCGACUCACGGUGGUGUCU